GAUGAACGCUGGCGGCGUGCCUAAUACAUGCAAGUCGAGCGAAUGAUGAGGAGCUUGCUCCUCUGAUUUAGCGGCGGACGGGUGAGUAACACGUGGGUAAUCUGCCUGUAAGACGGGGAUAACUCCGGGAAACCGGGGCUAAUACCGGAUAACAAGAGGAAAUGCAUAUUUCCUUUUUGAAAGUCGGUUUACGCUGACACUUACAGAUGAGCCCGCGGCGCAUUAGCUAGUUGGUGAGGUAAUGGCUCACCAAGGCGACGAUGCGUAGCCGACCUGAGAGGGUGAUCGGCCACACUGGGACUGAGACACGGCCCAGACUCCUACGGGAGGCAGCAGUAGGGAAUCUUCGGCAAUGGGCGAAAGCCUGACCGAGCAACGCCGCGUGAGCGAUGAAGGCCUUCGGGUCGUAAAGCUCUGUUGUUAGGGAAGAACAAGUAUGAGAGUAACUGCUCGUACCUUGACGGUACCUAACCAGAAAGCCACGGCUAACUACGUGCCAGCCGCCGCAGUAAAAC
rnacentral:rRNA from 1 species